rnacentral:lncRNA from 1 species
AUGGCUACGACGGAGCGACGACGGCCGCCCGUCUCCUCGGAGAGCCCAGCCUCUCCCGUGUCCCACCCCCGCCGCGGAGGCCCGACGGCCGGAGGGUCGGCGCGGGUCGUGGGCCCGUCCGUCGAAGGGUCAGAGAGGCCGCCGCCGGUGAAGACGGAGGAGGAAGAGGAGGACCGCGGGGGAGGAUUCGGCCCGCGGGGGAACGGCGUCCCCGGCCGGGGAGCCCGGCGGUUCCGGUUCCGGGAGGCGUCGGGCCCCCGCGAGGCCCUGGGCCGCCCGCAGCAGACCCUCCAACCCUCGGUCCUGGACCGGUUCCUCGCCAUCCUGCCCGCGGAGAUCCAGGCCCGGGUGCGGUUCCGGCGCCCCGAGAGCGGCGAGGAGGCCGUGGCCCCGGUGGAGGGCUCGCACCCAGAGCCGGGUGGGACCGGGCCGCAGGUGGUGACUCGGACGCCCGCCCCGGCAGCGUUGGCGGAGGAGACGGCGGCCCCCGGAGCAGCGGCCGAGCCCAGGAGGUCCCCGUGCCGGCCCGUCGUGCCCAGGUCCGGGCGGGCGUCCCCGGGGCCUCGUGCCCCGCGGCAAGACGGGUGAGGGACAGGCGGGCCGCGUCUAGGAGGGAGCCGGGGAUGGUGACGACGAGGGUAUCCGUUAAGCGCUUACUGUGAGCCGAGCGCCGGGGUAGAUACCAGGUCGACGGUGACCGUUUUCCGCUCCGUCGCGGGCCGGCGGAGCCAGGACGUCGCGGGAUCGAAUCCCCGCCUCGCCCCCGGUCCGCCGCCUGACCUUUGGCAGGUCGCUUCGCUUCUCCGGGCCUCGGUAACGUGGGGAUCGAGAGCGCGAGCCCCACGGGGGACGGGGACCGCGGACCGCCCGAUCAGCCGGGACGCGGACGGGGCCCGGCACACGGUGAGCGCCUCGCGGGUAACCCCGGUCGUUAUCGUCGUCGUCGUUGUGAUCCUUCUUCUUCGGGGGGCGGCCCGUCCCCAAACCGGAGCCGUCCGAGGAAGGAGGAAGAGCGGAGCCCCCCGGGGCCCCGACCCGGGACCCGCGCCCGGGGCCCGGCGGGCGGAGGGGCCGGGGAAGGUGGGGAAGGGCCCGGGGGCGCGUCCGGGGGACCCCCCCGCCAAAGAGCGCCCUUACCCCUGCGGCGACUGCGGGAGGGCCCUCGCCCUGAGCUCCGCGCCCCUCCGCCACCGGCGCGUCCACACGGGCGAGCGGCCCUCCCCGUGCCCGGACUGCGGCGAGGCCUCCCCGCGGAAGUCGGCCCCGACCCACCACCGGCGGACCCACACCGGCGAGAGGCCCUACCGCUGCCAGGACUGCGGCGAGGCCUUCCCCCGGCGCUCGGCCCCCGCCCGCCACCGGCGGGUCCACACGGGCGAGGAGCCCCACCCGUGCCCGCUCUGCGGCCGGGCCUUCGGCCGGAGCUCCACCCUGGCCGAUCACCGGCGAGAAGCCGUUCCGCUGCCCCGUCUGCGGGAAGACCUUCAGGCCGACGUCCCACCUCAGCCAGCACCGAAGGAGGAGGCCGCCGGGGCCGGCCCGGCCGACGCCCGAGGACCGCCGCCCACGGGGAGCGGUCGGGCGGCGGGCCCGCGGACACGUGCGUCUGCGGGUCCGGGUCCGCGCCCGAGCGCCUGGGGGUUCCUGUAGACGGUGAGCUCGUUGUGGGUAUGUGUUCGUCGUCACACCGCGCUCUCCCCGGCGCGGAGCGCGGCGGG